rnacentral:rRNA from 1 species
GACGAACGCUGGCGGCGUGCUUAACACAUGCAAGUCGAACGGAAAGACCCUGCUUUUGUGGGGUGCUCGAGUGGCGAACGGGUGAGUAACACGUGAGUAACCUGCCCUUGACUUUGGGAUAACUUCAGGAAACUGGGGCUAAUACCGGAUAGGAGCUCCUGCUGCAUGGUGGGGGUUGGAAAGUUUCGGCGGUUGGGGAUGGACUCGCGGCUUAUCAGCUUGUUGGUGGGGUAGUGGCUUACCAAGGCUUUGACGGGUAGCCGGCCUGAGAGGGUGACCGGCCACAUUGGGACUGAGAUACGGCCCAGACUCCUACGGGAGGCAGCAGUGGGGAAUGUUGCACAAUGGGCGGAAGCCUGAUGCAGCAACGCCGCGUGCGGGAUGACGGCCUUCGGGUUGUAAACCGCUUUCGCCUGUGACGAAGCGUGAGUGACGGUAAUGGGUAAAGAAGCACCGGCUAACUACGUG